UGCUGGACCCCCGGUACACUGAGCUUCUUAACUGAGCACGUACUGGAUAAGGGCUCACGGGACCCGGUCUUCUUCUUAGUCUCUAAGAAAAUUUUAUCAAGGUUGACCUCGGAUCAGGUAGGAAUACCCGCUGAACUUAAGCAUAUCAAUAAGCGGAGGAAAAGAAACCAACAGGGAUUGCCUCAGUAACGGCGAGUGAAGCGGCAACAGCUCAAAUUUGAAAUCUGGCCUUUUUAGGGUCCGAGUUGUAAUUUGUAGAGGAUGUUUCGGGUACCGCUCCGGUUUAAAUUUCUUGGAACAGAAUGUCAAAGAGGGUGAGAAUCCCGUCUUGGACCGUGGUAGGGCCCAUGUGAAACUCCUUCGACGAGUCGAGUUGUUUGGGAAUGCAGCUCAAAAUGGGUGGUAAAUUUCAUCUAAAGCUAAAUAUUGGCCAGAGACCGAUAGCGCACAAGUAGAGUGAUCGAAAGAUGAAAAGCACUUUGAAAAGAGAGUUAAACAGUAUGUGAAAUUGUUGAAAGGGAAGCGCUUGCAACCAGACUUGCGCGCGGCGGUUCCCCCUUCCUUUUGGUUGGGUUAUUCCGUCGUGUCCAGGCCAACAUCGGUUCUGGGGGUCGGUCAAAGGCUUUGGGAAUGUACCUACCCUUCGGGCGUAGACUUAUAGCCCGGAGUGUCAUGCGGCCUCCCGGGACCGAGGAACGCGCU
rnacentral:rRNA from 1 species